GCAAAAGCGCGAUUUCAUUUGCCAAACCUAUGGCAUGCUAAUUAUCAGUAAAGAUUCUCAUAUUUUCUUUAGUUUUUCCAUAGCUACUUUAUAUUACGUUUGUAGAACUCAUCAGGUCAUCUUCUGGUGGUUUAUAUACAUAUGUAUAUCCGCAAAGAUGCACGACUUUUAGACUUUAAUUGGAGAUCAGUUCGAUUGCACAUGUGAUAAGAGUGAAGGUAUAUGACUGUUUAUACUAAAUAUUGCUUCUGAUCUUUGAUAUAGCUUUAUAUAGUAGUGGACUCGAGUAGGUUGUUAACAUAUAUUUUGUCUCUUACUACUUUUAUGCAGUAUUAGAUUAUAUGCCCUGGACAAACCAAUGCUCUCUCAACUUUACAGAUGCCUAUUUUAACAUAUGAAACAAUUGGACAUCUUGGGUAUAAAUGUUUAAAAGGCAUAUAUGGUAAUUGUCCUAUGUAUGAAAUAUCUAUUAAGGUCUCCAUUUGUUUAACAUUAUCAAACUUGUUGCACAUGUUUGUAGUUGGAACGAUUAUAUAUGUAUAAAACCUGAAAGGGAUGGAAUUGUUUCUUAUUAAGGAUACUCUCUGUGUGUGUGUGUAUAUAUGUAUAUAUUUAUUUUCUAUUGAACUUACUUGUAUCACUGGAAUUCAUAUUAUGCCUUGCCAUAACUGAAGGCAUGAUUCAGUGAACUAUGAAUGGCUUAAUCCCUUUAGGGUACGUAGGCAGUCUAACGAGGAGGUUAGAUGCAGUCAUAAAGUAUAUGAAAAUUACUAUGCGAAUUGAUGCUUGAGUUAUGCUUUGUACAUAUCCCAGAGGUGAGGUAUGUUAGAUAUAUGGAUACUUAGUGACGUCACGUGUCGAUCCUGGACAUAUGUUGGGAUCGGGGCCUGACACCAGAGGCUUACGGGUGCGAGGGAAACCCCAGCUACAACUGGGUUUCUGGUUUGGGUCGAAUGCGAGCACAGGUCAAGCCCAGCAAAAUGAUGGCCUUCGGGUUUAUGCGUGCAAUGACUAAGCCCAGCCGCAUGGGCUGCCUGACUGAGGCGCGGGUUGUGGUAAUGGCAGAGCCCAGUAGUAAACUGUUAGCAUGGGCCGUGGUGAAAAGGGACCAGCCCAGCAUGCGCUGGUAUGGGUUGGGGCUGUAAGACCGUGGUAAAGAAACCAAACCAAGCACAGGACCUGGUUGUCCACAUUGUGCAGUGAAGCCCAAAGGCUUCGGCAAAGGUCCGAGACGUCAAAUGAUGUCGUGUCAAUGAGGGUUUCCACACGGCUAGGCUUCAUGCCAGCAUGGUGGUCCUUGUGGUGGUGCCACGACGGUGGUGCCGCAAAGUCCCAAUAUCCUUUUUUUUUUGAAAUUGUUAGGGUUCUACAAACCUUAGAUCUGCUUCUAAUUUAUGAAUAUACUUUGACUCACAAUUCCACAUAGCAAUUUAAUUGCGUAAUGCAUGAAACAAAUAUAUAAAACAUAUACAAUAUAUAUAUAUAUAUAUAUAUAUAUAUAUAUCGGAAGGUAAAUAUAAAUGUAGGGGUUCAUGCAUCAUGAGAAAUGUUUUCAUGCUUCAUGGUCGUUUCAAAUAUCUUCCUUUAUUUUAAGCUACCUGAUUGGUAGAAAACUACAAAAACCUUUGAAUUUGUAGAAGAUCCUUCUCAGAAAGUCGGAAUUGCAUCUCUAAUGCGUUGUAUCACGUUCAACACAGAAAAAUUAAAUCGAAUCAAUAGCAUGUAGAUCAAUUCAAUAAAAUAAUAGAUUAAUCAUAAAAAGAAUGAUUAAAAACGUAAUCUCCCCUGAUUGAAGAAUAAAUUCUCUUGUUAGCGCAGCGUCAAGAUCGUGCUAAUAAUGUGUUUUAGGCAUAAUUUAUUGAACGAUUACGAAGCCCAUAGAGAGAGAGAGAGGGAGAGAGAAAGGUGCGGCACAGAGAGAAAAAAGAGAGAUGUGUAAUUGUGAGGUGUGUUAUAUUACACCCCAUUGUGCCUUAAUUUAUAGUAGUAGGGAAGGUUAAUUCCUUACCCUUUUAGGAUUACAACUCUUAAUAGGUAAUCAACUCCAAAUAGAAAUAGAAGAGAUAUUCCUAUAUACACUAGGAUUUACACAAUCACAUUCCUAAUCUAAUAGGACUCAACAGAGAUAAGUUUCUAACAAACACAUGCAAGAUCAAUUGCUAAUUCUUUAAUUUGCUAAUUGAGUUGCUACCUUAGUUGGAGUUACGUUUUUUCUAUGUGGCACAACAUAUCUAACUUUGCUAACUUCCCUUAGAAAUGCUCUAACUAGGAGGAUAUAUAAAACACUUGUAUAAAGUCCUUGUGUAUUGUGUCGCGAUCUCGGAGCGAAGACUGCGGAAGAAUGUUGAGUAAUGCAUUUUGGCGAGAAGUUAGUGGAAGGGUGCUUUUAGUACAUGCAUCAAAGGUUUGCAUAAUAGACCUCCAUCUCCAUGUGGUACUUGGAGAACCUUCUCCAACCACUUUGUCGGCAUUCCGCCAUUGCCCACCACCUUUCUUCACUCCUUAUUCCUCCCUUAUAUUUUCGUUAUCUCCUCUUUUGUCAAAACUAAGUAGUAAAAAAUUUGUGUUAACGUUCAAAAUUUGCAAGUCAAACCCAGAUGAAUCUAGGUGGAAACG
rnacentral:lncRNA from 1 species